GGUCUUGCCUGCCCAGUGAUAAUUUAAACGGCCGCGGUAUCUUGACCGUGCGAAGGUAGCGCAAUCACUUGUCUUUUAAAUGAGGACCUGUAUGAAUGGUGGAACGAGGGCUUAACUGUCUCCCUUUUCUAGUCAAUGAAAUUGAUCUGCCCGUGCAGAAGCGGAUAUAAAGAUACAAGACGAGAAGACCCUUUGGAGCUUAAGACACUAGAUCACCUAUGUAAAGAAUAUAUAAAAACUAAAUAGUUCCUGAUCUUAGUCUUCGGUUGGGGCGACCACGGGAGAAAACAAAGCUCCCAUGUAGACUGGGUGUAAACCUAAAACCAAGAAAGACAUUUCUAAGCAUCAGAACUUCUGACCAUAAAGAUCCGGCGAUCCCGCCGACCAACGGACCAAGUUACCCUAGGGAUAACAGCGCAAUCCCCUUUCAGAGUCCAUAUCGACAAGGGGGUUUACGACCUCGAUGUUGGAUCAGGACAUCCUAAUGGUGCAGCCGCUAUUAAGGGUUCGUUUGUUCAACGAUUAAAGUCCUACGUGAUCUGAGUUCAGACCGG
rnacentral:rRNA from 1 species